rnacentral:lncRNA from 1 species
UGUCUGCAUCAUGUCUAGGAACAUACAAGAUAGGCACCAAUGCCUUAAGAGACAUAAACAUAUGGCCCUCGGUGAACCCCUCUGAUCAACACCAAAAUUGAGAGCUAUCCUUUUGUAAGGGUACCGAAAUUUAAAGUGUCUAGGUUCGUGGACUCGGACAAACAACAGCUUAAGCUUGUCUAGUUCUUUGUUCUAUGAACUUGUGUCAAUGGGAACAGAUUUUGCCGGAGAAGAACCAGAGCUGCUGCUGCUACUGCUUUCUCCAUUGGUUGUAACAUCGGAUUGAGCUGAAGCUGAGGAGUUCAUAGAACUCUGGUUGGUAUUUGUGGAUGGUGCUUGUCCUUCUUCAGCGAGUUUCUUAAGGAGGUUCAUGACCGUUGGAAGGAACUUGGUUGACAAGGAAAGAAGUCCAGGUAGCUGUUAUUGAUCACAGAUGAAACAUUGGCUUUUCAGAGACAUUAUAAAUGAGAAUAAUUUGAAGAACAGUGGCAAUAAGGAUGUUGGAAACUUGCUCAUACCGCUCCAUGUUGGAAUUCUCCUGAAAUAUUUAACUGCACCCACAAGGCUUUGGAAACAAGGUAUCCAACGAACAGAACACCGAGCCACAGAGGAUUUCUGCCACAAGAGAAGCAAGGAAAGAAGAGAAAGGUGAGUGGGGAGAAUCUCCUUGAUCUGAAAAACAAACUCAAUUCAAAAGAAUGGGUAAAGAGUACCUUAAUAGAGUCAUAAACUCAUUAAAUCCAAGAACUACCAGGGCAAGGAUUGCCCAUGGAGGUGGCAACCAGUUGUUAUUCCGUCGGUUAGCUUCCUGAAAUUCAAUGUUACCAUAUGAGAAAAUAGAGAGUUCUAAUAGCAUAUCUUUUUAACUUUUAAUAAGCGUACCUGUGCAGAAAUAGCCUGUGUAACGGUAUAUUCUGUCUCGUUUUUGAAUUGUCUCCACAGUGAUUUACACUGUACAGGUGUGAUCAACGUCUUUUCUGGUGCAACCUGAUAAAAAAGAAGGUAAGGAUAUAUAAGACCAUUUGUGUUUUCAUUAUAAAUGCUGAGUGAGGUUUUAGUCACCUGCUCCCAAGUGCUUGAAGCGAGUGAAUCAAUUGUGCUGAUGCUCUUGCUGGUAGCAUUGUUACUUGUAGAAUUGACCAGAGCGAGAGUCAGUGUCUUCUCAAUAUUGUCGAGCUCAUCUUCCAAGCGGAUAACAGCCAUAACAGACAGUAGCUUCAAGGACUACAAAAAAGAUAACAAGGUUGUAACGUCAAAAUCUGGAAAAAGUUUGAUCGAGUCACAGAAUCGGAGCUAUAAGGCAGGGUUCAUACAGCAGAACGAGCCAUUUUGGUGAUUGCUCUGAUAUCCUCCUUUCCAGUCCAAAUACGUGGCAUUGAAUCAGAAUCAUGGCUGAAGAUUGUAGUAAAUCUGGAUAGAAAAUUGUUUAAUCAGAAAGCUGUGUAAGAGAUGGAAGUGGUGUAUAAUAACAAAAGUAGUAUGAUGGUGUCACCUAUCCUUCAUGCGCAUCAAAGCUCUUCCAGCCUCUUCCUUUGCCUUGGUUUCAACAAUACCACGUGCAUAGUUCUCAAGGUCAGUGAGCAUUUUAUUCCGUGUUUCUUCGUCCAUGUCGAAUCCAGAUAAUGCGUCGGAGAGACCAUAGACAGCCAAUUCUCCUUCUCGUUUUAGUAGCUUUCUUAUUGCUGGCCAUGUUUCAUCAUUGGCACCAUCCAGAAGAGCUUCCACUGGUCCAGAUAAUGCUGCAUUUAGUUUUGACUGCAAUGACGAUUAUUUAUUAGGAAGCUCCAGACAGCAGUUGACACCUGCUUUGUGGUAGAUUAUCCAGAUCAAUAUGUAUGUCUUUAUUCUGCUUAAGAAUUCUAUUUACCUCAUACAGAGUAGUCAGUUCAGACAACUUUGCAGUACGGACAGAAGAGAUAUGGGCUUCAAUGUCACGCUGAAGCUUUUCCCGAGUUUUGGAUAUAUCCCAGUUUGCUUGUUCAAUAACAGCCUCUGCCAAAGAAAAACCAUUUUAGUAUUUAUUUCGUAUGAUAAUCUUCAGAUUCCAAUAUGUUAUCCUAUAUAUCACAAUAUUUUCAGUAGUAACAUCAACGCUAGGCUAUACCUUCACAUCCUUUAUCAAACUUAGACACGCAAGACUGAGCGCAAACAUCCGCUGAUGCUGAAAAGGCUUCACCCGCAUUUAACGCCUUCUCAAAAGCAUCCUUGAAGUUUUCAAGUGCUCCAGAUCUCAAAUGUCCAAGCAGGUCUUGGAAAGUUGGUUGAACAAGCUGCAUAGGACAGUAAAUAAAUGAGUGCCUAAUACCAGGUCUCUAAUUCUUUACAACUAUGUGAGUCUCUCUGAAUGUUUCCAGGUGACACAGUGAUUGCAGCAAAGCACAAGUUAAGAGUAUAUGCAUUACUUGCAAUAAUUUUUCUUGCAGCUGUUGUCUCUUGGAUGAUCUUACACCUUCUUCAAAGUAUGUCGCCUCUGUGUCAUACCUACAACAAACAUCAGGACAAGCAUGAAAAGGAAACUCCUACUGUUCUAUACUCUAAUGUAUGCAUAAGAAACCUCAAAUUCAAUAAAGUCGGCAUACAAGAAAACUGUAUAGGACAAUUAAGCACGAAAAUCUUACUCUGAUAAGCAAGACUGGAGGAUUGAGCUCAGCUUUUUUCCAAAUCCAGACACAGGACCAGAAUGUACAGCUUCUUCCAAUUCACGCCAAUUCUAUACAAUGUUUAGACAUAAAUAUUAACGACAAAGUCGCUGAAAAGGCUAAAACGUGAAGCAGUAUAAAGAAAAUUCACCUCAUUCGCAAUAAAACCAGCAAACUUUUCAUUGGCAAUUUCCUCGCAUCGCACAGUUGCUACCAUGACCUGCGCGCAUAGGCAUCGCAUAAAUAACAAGACUAGAAGGAACAGUAACAAAACUAGAGCCUGUAGCAAGCAAAAUUACCUUGUGAGCCGGAAGGUCCAAGUCUUUGUUGUCUUUGAUGACUUGCCACAUCUGUUUUGCGCUAAAAGCAAACGCAUUGGCAGGGACAACUCCUCGUCUAUCACCAGCAAGUCCGCCAGGUGCAACAGAGUGGAAGAACCGUUGUCUCAAAUUAGCAACCUUUCAUUUACCAAGAAAAUAUUGGUAAAAGUAUUAGUAUCAGUCACAAAGCCAACUGUUGAGUAAAUAGGUAACCCUGGAGUUUAUCCAAAAUGUAAAGCUAAAUGCGAAUGAACCUGCUCUUUGAAUAGCUCUUCCUUCUCUUCAUAACUAUUGAGAGCAAUUACUUCAACCUGUCACACAAGAAACAGCUCCAUUUCUUGAUCCUAGCAAAAGAAGAGUGAUACUAAGUUCUUAUAAAAUGGUCAAGCAAACGUACAUUGAAGAAAUCACUAAGAGGAGUUUCUUUGUGUGCUUGAGGCUUGGGGACUGCAUCCCAGAUCUGCAUGUAUGGACAAUAUAUAAGGAAUUGCAUAGUCAAAGCACAUAAAAGCUAAAGACUGUCUCUUAUUUUACCUUUUGAAUGUCUUCCCUUAGCACUGGUUCUAAAUUUUCCAAUGGCGUCUGCAAAUAUUCAUACACAACUUAUAAUCCACAAAACAGAAUGAUGAAGAAAAGAAAACAUAGAAUGCAAGCUACCACGUACUAGAUGGAAAAAUACAAAUACAUACCCGUGUUUUAUCUCUUAUGACAAACAUCAAAGUCGUUUUCCGCGGACUAAACAACCUCAUCAUAACCUGAUCGCAUGUAGCAGGAAAAGCAAAGAGUGUUGAGACUUCAGAUCAGCAAUAACUCAUACUGAUAAGAAGAUGCAGACAAUUUACCUGGAACACAGUCUUCAAAAGAGGUUUGUUUGCUGCUUGCUCCCGACCAAUAUCAUGACACCACCUGCAUUAUACAUCCGGGAACCAGUAUGUUAUAAGAUAAAGUCAGAAAAAGAAUGUUCUGCUAUCUAUCGAAGAGAGUAGAGCACAGAAGACAACUUACAUGUUUAUGAGAACUAUGUCUGAGACAGCAAGUGCAAAAAGAGCACUCUGUUUCUCGAAAGCAGUAUCAUCCUAACAGCCAAAUACAAGGAAACUGUACGUAAGUAAGCCAUUCUAUACUAAAACACUCUAUUUAAGAAAGCAAUUUUUUGUGUGUGCUCAUUAAGAUUGACACUGCGCAUGAAACCAAGCUAAGACUCUAAUCAAUACAAGUCAAGGUUCAUUGAAGUUAUUCACAAUCAGUGCCAAAGCUCAAAAGAAGAUUAUACCAACUGGUGUUCGAUAAAAAGAAAAGUAAAGGACCCAUAUAUGACAAGGACCGAGGGUACACACCUCUCCACGCUCUCUCCCAUCGGUACCCUCCAAAUCCAUCACAACGGUGCAAGGCUCAAUACCAGCGCAUCUAGCAAUCCAGAUACCCUUAGUCGUCUGGGACCUGAAAACAAGGAAAUUCAAGGGUUGAAGUAUCUUAAAUUAUAAGCUAACUGUGCUUCCCACGAAGUAUACAAAGAGCAGGACAUACCUUCCUCUAAAAGCAUCCAUUUCCCUAAAGUUCGUUCCAAACAAAUGAUUCAAGAGGGUACUCUUCCCUGCAAAUCCAACCACAAUCACUUCAAAAUCAGCCCCAAACACAUGGAUCCAGAAGAAGCAAAAGCUUUUGCACUACAUACCACUACUCUGAGGACCCAUGAUCGAGACAACCGCAUACGAAAGACCACAUUCCUCCAGUUUAACCUCCUUGAUAAAAUGAUCAACCCCGGAGACAUUAAAGGUACCAUCUCCAUCAAUAAGCUGAGUAGAGCAAGCGGCAUCUGCAAUUUACAAUACAAUAAAGAGGAAAUCAAAUCAGAUCCUUUGUACAUGUAAGCUCAAGGAGUCUCUGAACAAAGCAAACUGAAUCUGACAUAACUACUUCAAAGUCUUAGACUUUUCAUUAAACCCAGAAUCCUUACUAACCUCACAAAAACCCAAACAAAAUUUCAGAUUUUUUUCAGUUAAAAGAUCCCAAAUUUGGACAGUAAUCAAGCAAAUCCAACCUCUUUAUAAUCAAUCAUAGUCACUCAGAAGACAGAAGAAUCAAAUCAUCAAACACCUUAUGAGCAAAGAGAUUUACAAACAGAUAUAGAUCACAAAACCUAAAUCUCAGAGCUUACAAAAGAAACUGAAAUCGAAAACGAAUAACGCUUGGAUCAGAAGAAAAAAAAACGAAAACUGAUCAGAUCAAAAAAAAAAAAACGGAUCCACGAGAUCAGGAACAUUAAUGAGCAGAGAAGGAAGAGAGAUGUAUAUGUGAAAUUACCCAUUGUCGCACAAGGAUGCCUCAGAGAGAGUGAUGAAUGAGAAGAAGAAAGGAGAGAGAGAUCUCAAGAGGGGGAAGUCGAGAGCUUUGAUGCACCGCUGCUGCUUUAAGACGACUGGUUCUGGUAGUAAGGUCAUACAACCUUCCUUCUUUUAUUUGACAACCAACAAAACAAAUGCCAAAAGUGAUUAUUUUUUAAUUCCCAACGAAUAUCUACCUUUUACGAUUUGUAUUUUAUUUCGCUUACUCCAAAUAUUCACCGAUAAAUAUAUGAUUUUAAGCCAUUUACCGAUUAAUUAUAAGUUUUUUUUUUGAGAAAGGGCUUGAUUAAUUAUAAGUUUAGGUCCAAUUAACUUUUUUCUUCAAUUAAUAAAUUUUCUCCGUUUCAAAAAUAAGUGGUAAUAGUAAAUUGUUAAAAAAUUAAAAUUAAUUGUAUUUACUAGAUUAUGAUCGGUUAAAACUGUAAAAACAAUAAAUUAUUAAAUUAAUAUAUUUAUAAUUAAGAUUUGAAUAUUUUUAAUAGGUGUGAAAAUUUUAAAAUAUAUACUAUUCUAAAACAGAAAAACGUCAACUACAAAAAUAUCAAUAGAGCAUAUCUGAUCAUUUUAAUUUAUUAAUAAUACCCUAGUUUGAGGAAAACAAUAUUUUUCAGGUAAGAAAUCACUAAAGAAUAAUAAAAUAAUAAUGUAAAUUCAAUCAACGAAAUUAUGAUAUACUCAUUACAUUGGUCGCAAAAGAGAAACUGGGUCCCACGUGGGCAUUUAGACACAUUGAUGUAUGGCUGGACAAUAAUAGGACCCACACAAAAGCCCAAUUUUUGGUGGGAUCCACUUAGCCGCCUCUUCGCCUUUGUAAAAGUUGGACGGUGGUGUGAUCUAAUCUAGGCGGCUCCGGCAUAGCGACAACGAAGAAGUUCCACCGUCCGAUUACUUCUCGUUAACCACUGUGAUGGUCAGAUAUAUAGCCGUCAUUUUUUUAACGUCAAACAUCGACAGUUUUUUCUAAUGUCAUUUUCUUGAGUUACGAGCCAAGUUUAAAAUGAGGCCCAAAAUAGGCCCAUAUUAGAGAAAAAAACCCGCAUCCACAAAGACCUUAUAAUAUCUUGAUAAAUUACAAUAUGUUUAUUUAUAAAUUGGGCCUUACGGCCCAAAGCCCAUGUAGAUUUCCUCUUCCAAGAGAGAGAGAGAGAGAGAGUGAGCUCAGGGAAGCAAUCGCCAGUCUCGGAGAAGGGGGAGAAGACAAUGGCUGCCAAAACCCUAAUCAGAUCAGGAGCUUCGCUAAUGAAUCGGUUUCUAUCGAAGCCUACGACGAAUCUUGUGCAGAACAAGCUCAGAUCGUUUCAGCAGAUAUCUCCCCAGCGACAAGAACUCCCGCCGUGUUUUUUGUUCCCGUCGUUGACGAAUCUACAGAACUCGCUUAAUCCGCGCGUUAACGACACUGUUACGCUUCAGGAGCUAACGGAACGUGGGUUUCUUCACCCAUCUGGUCUUCCUUCACUCGAGUUCUUCUUACCAGAAGGUUUACUUCUCUGCUCUCUUACCUCCAUUUGAGUGUUCAUAUCGUUAGCUCAGACGGGUAAUUAGCAAUAACUCCUAAGGUAUAUGAUGAUUUGAGUAUUAGUCUGGUGCUGAUCAGUGUUCUGUUUUCUAAAGAUUUGAUCUUUGAGGGGAAUGAGAAAGUUCUCUUGCUUGCUCUUGACUCUUAGGGUAUAUGAUGAUUUGAGCAUUAGUCUGGUGCUGAUCAGUGUUCUGUUAUCUGGUGCUGAUCAGUGUUCUGUUAUCUAAAGAUUUGAUCUUUGAGGCGAAUGAGAAAGUUUUCUUGCUUGAAAAAAGAUUAAAGACUGAACCUUUAGGUGGUUUAUUCUUGUUAUUGUCCAAUAACUGCUAGUGGAAGUACUUGAUUAUUAUGUGGUGUUCUGUUUUUUUUUUUUUUUGAAACGGGAUCAUGGGGAGUUCUAAAGUGCUUGUAGGAGGGUGAAGAAUCUUGGCUAUGUUGUGCAGAGUUUCAUAUAGUGCUUAGAAUCUUGAGAAUUUCAGUCUGUUGUUUAUUGAGAUUUAGUGCGUUGCAACGUUUGCACAUCUUGCUACUCUAUGGUACUAUGCUAUGUUGUGGAGAGUUGCAUAUAGUGCAUGUUCAGUAUGUUGUUUAUUGAGCUUUAGGGACUUUACAUUUUGCUACUCUCCGGUGCCUGCUUAAUAUCUUUGUACUUUGGUGAUGUAGUCGAUCCAUCAAGUGAGCCGUUGCUUUUAUUUCCCAAGAGGACGUUCCAGCCUAGUACGAUCAGGCGCAAACGUAACCACGGAUUCUUUGCUCGGUAUGUCUCUUUGUAUUAAACCUCCUUGUUUCAGUCCAAGAAUAGAGUCAAAUCUUUGCUCUUUCUCGUUCGUAUUAGAGGAAUUUGUUGAUUUAGCACUAAUGGAAAGUAAGAAGAGGAUUGUUUGUUCGUUUGUACAUGGUGCUUGAGCGACCAAACUGUUUAGUCUAUUGACUAGUGAAUGUCUUGAAUAUAAACAGAAAAGCAACCAAAGGUGGACGGAGAGUCAUAGCUCGGAGAAUAGCAAAAGGGCGUCACAGAGUCACUGCCUAGAGUCCCUCUUUAAUCUUUCCCAUGAAUCUCCAGCUAUCAGAUAGGCCGGCUACGUCUCUUUCCUUACAGGCUAGAAAAUCUGAAACUUGGAUCUCAUAAAUACCUUGGAUGUAUCAAUAUCCAUGUUUUGACGUGUUGUUUUGGAUCUUGGAGUCGAGGUGGAGUUAAAGAUCUCAGCAUCUUUUAUUUUCUAACAAUCUCACCUCCUUUUGAAUGGUUACUUUACAUCAAGGAAUAAGUUUUUCUACAUGAUGCUUAAUUACGUACAUAUAUGAGUUCAUUAUUUGUGUAUAGGUAUAGUAGCCUUAUCCAACAAAGUCACACGGCUAUAACCUAUGAAGAACUAACAACAUUUAUGAAAUAUAAACAGUUGUAUGGUAUAUUUGAACAAAAAAAAAACAGUUGUAUGGUAUAUGACACAUAAUACAGCAGUAACACUUGCUAUCAUAUUUAUAAAAUUAAACUUGAUUAGUGUGGAAAUUUGAUCUAUAACUGAUGUGAAACUAUGAUGCAAACGAGGCCAUAGAGCUGAGGAAUGGCUCUGCAGUCUAUGCAAAACAAAAGAAAGAAAAUAGGAAAGUCUCUCUCUCACUCUUAUUUUUAUCUGUUUUCUUCUGAUUUCUGACUCAAACAUUUACUUCAUGUAGAGGAAAGAGAUUCAAUUAAUGAGUUGUAGAAUCCCAAAGAUUAAAAAAACCUGAGAGAAAAGAAACGGCAAGAGCUGAUAGAUUGGUAAAGAAAAUAACUUCACUUGUCCCAUAAGCAACACCCUUGCCUAUGUUGUAGGCACUACUAGGCCUAAACCCCUCUAAAACCCACAAAGCUUCUUUAAAUCUCCGUAUCCUUCUUCUUCCUCUUUACCUCUUCAGGCCUUUAUAAAGCCAUCAUCACCAUCAUAAGUCAUCUUCAUCAUGAGAAUGGGAGAAAUAAGAAAGUGGUAUGUGGCUAUAAUGGCGAUGGUACAAAUAGUGAGCUGGGUGUCUGCAACAAGCAGGCACAUUGCUUCUACUCAAGUUUCUUUUCAUCCAGGUUUGAGUGUUUCUUUAAUUUUAUCUUUCUGAGUAUACUAAUCAACCCCAUUACUAUGUAUAUAUAUGCAUAUAAUGAUAAGCAGACAUGUGGAUAUUUAAAUGGUGGGAACAAUACCCUAUUUAGUUUCUAUUUGUAACUCGCUUUUGCAGUCUGAUAGCGCUUCAGGAGGUAGACCACUUGUCUCUGAACCAAACAAGAGGUAAUCUCCUCUUCUGUAAGAAAAUUCCUGCAUCAAACAAGUUCUGACAGUUGAGGACAAAAGCAUUCUCUCUUGACGCUGCUCAGACAUGCAAUGGACUCAUUUCAUUUUAGGAAUAUCAAUUCAACUUUUUCUAACCAUUUUUUUCAGCUACCUAAUUUCAAAGUGGCUGUUGCUAACAAACGCAGUGAGGUCUAGGGGUCACGCAACUUACUGAAUGUAUCUUUGUUCCUCUUUUGGUGAAAGCUAUCAUCCGUUUCUCUCCCUCCUAAGACAAACAUAGACAUAACAAGUCAGACAUCAUAUCCAGGGAACUGAAAUUAGAAGUGUUGAGGUGAUGGAGAAACCUGUUGCCUGAAAUAUUCUUGAAACUCAGCCCAUGAGCUGUGCGCUUUGACAACCACAAAGCUAAAUGCUUUAAGUUAAGGGGCAUGAAUCUCACAACCUCUUUAAACUUUUAAUAAUAACAUAUGAGAUGCUUAUGCAAGGGAAGUAAACCAACAAAACUAAAAAUAGGUGAGGGAUACGGCCAAUAGUCCAAACCAGCUCGCUUUACUUUGGCGUCAUCCACUUGAAAACCUAAUGGCUGAAGCAGGAUGGAUCAGAUGAACACUUGGAAACAAUGAAUCAACUAAUAUAAGGAGAUAACAUGAAUGUACCCCAACUAAAUGCAGACCAACAGCUGAAGCUGCACAUGUUCUUGCAAUGCAACCUGUGUUUCCAGGAAUCUGUCAAAUGAAGGAGACACGAGUAGAUAUCUAUAUAAGCCACUACAAGUUUCUGAAGACGCCACUACCAAACCAAAACAAUGCAGUAGUAACGUUUAUUUGUUCGUAUUGUUUUAAUGAUUGAGCGUAACCUGGGGAGAGACCAAUACUACUUGAAGAAGCUUACUCCUCGCAUCUUCUUUAACUCCUUCUCCUGCCCCACGCGGCAGGGCAUUACUUCUCUUGUCCUUGUCCGAGAGAGGAGGAGGAGACAGAAUCUUGGAGGAAAAUGAAGUGAUGGAGAGAGACAGCUUGCGCUUGAGGUUGAGAUGAGUUAAGCCAAGAGAAGGCAAGAGACGGUCACUUGACUGGUGCCGGAGAUGAAACGGCCUUGAAGCUAUAAAGAAGCUCAGACUGCUCCGGCCGCAACUCCCCAUUCUUCCCAGCCAACCUACUUCCUUCCUUCCUUCCUCCGCAGAUAUUGUUUCAGCACGCUUUGAAAAUAAUAUCAUUUGGGCCGAAAUUGUCAAUAUCUAGGCCCAUUUAUUAUUCAGACCAUUCCUCAUGCCUAGUUCAUGUCGGAGACCAAUCUUUAAUGUUUCAACUUAAAAACAGAGUGAAAUGACUUGCAUUACCAUAAAAAUGAGAAACUGAUACUCUCUUCAAUCAACAAACCAAUCUUUUAAGUUUCACCAUUCUUUCAUCAGAUACAAUAAACCACAUUAAUACAGAACUCGCAAACAAACCAUGACUAUAUUUUUUUUGUCUGCAUCAUGUCUAGGAACAUACAAGAUAGGCACCAAUGCCUUAAGAGACAUAAACAUAUGGCCCUCGGUGAACCCCUCUGAUCAACACCAAAAUUGAGAGCUAUCCUUUUGUAAGGGUACCGAAAUUUAAAGUGUCUAGGUUCGUGGACUCGGACAAACAACAGCUUAAGCUUGUCUAGUUCUUUGUUCUAUGAACUUGUGUCAAUGGGAACAGAUUUUGCCGGAGAAGAACCAGAGCUGCUGCUGCUACUGCUUUCUCCAUUGGUUGUAACAUCGGAUUGAGCUGA